rnacentral:tRNA from 1 species
GCGGUCGUGGCGGAAUCGGUAGACGCGUAGCGUUGAGGUCGCUAUGGAAGAAAUUCUGUGGAAGUUCAAGUCUUCUCGACCGCACCA